AGCUUUGCGCAGUGGCAGUAUCGUAGCCAAUGAGGUUAAUCCGAGGCGUGAUUAUUGCUAAUUGAAAACUUUUACCAAUACCCCGCCAUGAUGACUUGAAAUAUAGUCAGCAAUGGCAAUUUUUGACAGUCUCUAAGGAGA
rnacentral:snRNA from 1 species